rnacentral:rRNA from 1 species
CACGUAGGAGCAAACGUUAUCCGGAUUUACUGGGCGUAAAGCGCGUGUAGGUGGUUCUGUAAGUAGGGCGUGAAAGCUCCCGGCUCAACUGGGAGAUUGCCGUUCUAAACUGCAGAGCUAGAGGAUGGUAGAGGGAGGUGGAAUUCCAGGUGUAGACGGUGGAAUGCGCAGAUAUCUGGAGGAACACCAGUGGCGAAGGCGGCCUCCUGGACCAUUCCUGACACUCAGACGCGAAAGCUAGGGUAGCAAACGGGACUUAGAUACCCUCGUAGU